rnacentral:rRNA from 1 species
UGGGGAAUUUUGCACAAUGGGGGAAACCCUGAUGCAGCGACGCCGCGUGAUUUAGAAGGCCUUCGGGUUGUAAAAAUCUUUCCUAUGGGAAGAAAAUGACAGUACCAUAGGAAUAAGGACCGGCUAAUUACGUGCCAGCAGCCGCGGUAAUACGUAAGGUCCGAGCGUUGUCCGGAAUCAUUGGGCGUAAAGGGUACGUAGGCGGGUAAGCAAGUUAGAAGUGAAAUCCUAUAGCUCAACUAUAGUAAGCUUUUAAAACUGCUCAUCUUGAGGUAUGGAAGGGAAAGUGGAAUUCCUAGUGUAGCGGUGAAAUGCGCAGAUAUUAGGAGGAAUACCGGUGGCGAAGGCGACUUUCUGGCCAUAACCUGACGCUGAGGUACGAAAGCGUGGGUAGCAAACAGG